AUGCAGUCGCACGGACCUUUCGGGGUGAGUGGCGGACGGGUGAGUAUCGCGUAGGGAUCUAUCCAUGGGUGGGGGAUAACAUCGGGAAACUGGUGCUAAUACCGCAUGAUACCUGAGGGUCAAAGGCGCAAGUCGCCUGUGGAGGAGCCUGCGUUCGAUUAGCUUGUUGGUGGGGUAAAGGCCUACCAAGGCGAUGAUCGAUAGCUGGUCUGAGAGGAUGAUCAGCCACACUGGGACUGAGACACGGCCCAGACUCCUACGGGAGGCAGCAGUGGGGAAUAUUGGACAAUGGGCGAAAGCCUGAUCCAGCAAUGCCGCGUGUGUGAAGAAGGUCUUCGGAUUGUAAAGCACUUUCGACGGGGACGAUGAUGACGGUACCCGUAGAAGAAGCCCCGGCUAACUUCGUGCCAGCAGCCGCGGUAAUACGAAGGGGGCUAGCGUUGCUCGGAAUGACUGGGCGUAAAGGGCGCGUAGGCGGUUUACACAGUCAGAUGUGAAAUUCCAGGGCUUAACCUUGGGGCUGCAUUUGAUACGUGUAGACUAGAGUGUGAGAGAGGGUUGUGGAAUUCCCA
rnacentral:rRNA from 1 species